UACGGGGGGGGCAAGCGUUGUUCGGAAUUACGGGGCGUAAAGGGCUCGUAGGCGGCCAACUAAGUCGGACGUGAAAUCCCUCGGCUCCACCGGGGAACUGCGUCCGAUACUGGAUGGCUUGAGUUCGGGAGAGGGAUGCGGAAUUCCAGGUGUAGCGGUGAAAUGCGUAGAUAUCUGGAGGAACACCGGUGGCGAAGGCGGCAUCCUGGACCGAUACUGACGCUGAGGAGCGAAAGCCAGGGGAGCAAACGGG
rnacentral:rRNA from 1 species